rnacentral:rRNA from 1 species
GACGAACGCUGGCGGCGUGCUUAACACAUGCAAGUCGAACGGAAAGGCCCUGCUUUUGUGGGGUGCUCGAGUGGCGAACGGGUGAGUAACACGUGAGUAACCUGCCCUUGACUUUGGGAUAACUUCAGGAAACUGGGGCUAAUACCGGAUAGGAGCUCCUGCUGCAUGGUGGGGGUUGGAAAGUUUCGGCGGUUGGGGAUGGACUCGCGGCUUAUCAGCUUGUUGGUGGGGUAGUGGCUUACCAAGGCUUUGACGGGUAGCCGGCCUGAGAGGGUGACCGGCCACAUUGGGACUGAGAUACGGCCCAGACUCCUACGGGAGGCAGCAGUGGGGAAUAUUGCACAAUGGGCGGAAGCCUGAUGCAGCAACUCCGCGUGCGGGAUGACGGCCUUCGGGCUGUAAACCGCUUUCGCCUGUGACGAAGCGUGAGUGACGGUAAUGGGUAAAGAAGCACCGGCUAACUACGUG